GAUACUGGAGGUUGCUGAUAUUUCUUUUUUGUUUAGUUUAUUUCUUUUUUAUUUACAGUGAUAAACAUCUAACUGUUAAGCAUGAUUAGGGUGUAUUGUAAAUUAAUCUACUGUGCGAUUACACCGCAGUGAGGCGCAUUUGUCUGGUAGUUUUUUGGACAACCACAGUGAUCAAGAAAUCUCCUGAAGGAAAACUAGCAAAGAGACGAGGAAUACGGUAACGUCUAUGGAGGGUAUGGACAUAUCGCAUUUGAUAAUUGAAUCACAGCCCAGACUACCACUGGUGAAAAUACCAUUAAGGACAGGUGCAAAGUGGAAACUCAAAAUAUAAUGAGUCGGUUUGAGAAUCAUUCCCUUCUUCUUCAUCUGCUUUGCCACCCUUGCUGAGACGCUGGAAGCAGUGGACUGUGGAGGCUAGGAAGAAGCUGGCCAUGAUGGCUGCCACAGAAACUGAAAUACCGGAAAAGAUGACAAUGAGGUAGUCUGUG